AACGCAUAUUGCGCUCUUUGGUAUUCCGAAGAGCAUGCUUGUUUGAGUAUCAGUAAACACCUCAAAGCUUUUGGAUUUUUUUUUUUUUGAAAGCUUUGGACUUGAGCAAUCCCAACACCAAUCUUUUUCAGAUCGGCGGCGGGUUGCUUGAAAUGCAGGUGCAGCUGGACUUUCUCCUGAGCUAAAAGCAUAUUCAUUUAGUCCCGUCAAACGGAUUAUUACUUUUGCUGCAGCUAACAUAAAGGGAGUUUGACCGCAUUGGCUGACUGAUGCAGGAUUUCACAAGGGUCGGCAACGAUUCUUGUUAAACUCGAUCUCAAAUCAAGUAAGACUACCCGCUGAACUUAA
rnacentral:misc_RNA from 1 species